rnacentral:rRNA from 1 species
AGAACGAACGCUGGCGGCAUGCCUAACACAUGCAAGUCGAACGAGACCUUCGGGUCUAGUGGCGCACGGGUGCGUAACGCGUGGGAAUCUGCCCUUGGGUUCGGAAUAACAGCGAGAAAUUGCUGCUAAUACCGGAUGAUGACGUAAGUCCAAAGAUUUAUCGCCCAAGGAUGAGCCCGCGUAGGAUUAGCUUGUUGGUGAGGUAAGAGCUCACCAAGGCGACGAUCCUUAGCUGGUCUGAGAGGAUGAUCAGCCACACUGGGACUGAGACACGGCCCAGACUCCUACGGGAGGCAGCAGUGGGGAAUAUUGCACAAUGGGCGAAAGCCUGAUGCAGCGACGCCGCGUGAGGGAUGGACGGCCUUCGGGUUGUAAACCUCUUUCAGUACCGACGAAGCGGAAGUGACGGUAGGUACAGAAGAAGCACGGCCAAUUACGUGCCAGCAGCCGC